AUCAACAUCGACCAACGGACAGCGACCCACUAAAGAUUAGAAAUGGGUGCCAUCCAUUUCUAUCCAAACUCCAAACUGCAAACCAUGUUCCUUCCCCGCAAAGCCACUCAUCUAAUUCGCACGGCAAUUGUGGUGGCGCACAUCAUACCAUCCCCAACCAUCAGCUGCUCCGCCGCUAACGUAAGCCGCACAAUGGUCAACAUGAACAAGGACUGCGUUGGAAUCGAUUCCCACGAACUCGAACCCAUAUUCGAACAAAAACGAUCUCUUAGAUCCAAAGUACGCAAAGCUCUAAAAAAUAUGGACCCAAAUCAGAGAUCUCAAGAAGAUAAUGCUAUUCAGAAUUCUGUUGUGGAAUCUUCCUGGUUCAAAGCUAGUAAGAACGUAUGUGCUUACAUAAGUUCUCCUGCUUUACUCGAAGUCGAUACCUCAAGGAUUAUCACGGAAGUUUUGUCAAGUCCUGCUGAAGAGAGGAAGAAACUUUAUGUUCCACGGGUGGAGGACAGGAAUAGCAACAUGAAGAUGCUGAUGAUAUCCAGUGUUGACGAUCUUAUUGAGAAUUCAAUGAACAUUUUGGAACCAGCCUUAGUAGAUUCUAAUGGGAACCAACGUGAAGACGUGCAGUUAUGCAAGCUUUCAUAUUUCUACUUGUCAAUACAACUCCCUCAAAAACAGCAUGAAAAGAAGGGAAAACUAACAUUCUCAACACCCACACUUAAUGGAGAAUCGAAGAAGCAAACCAUGGACUGCCUAUAUCUAUACAUCUCACUUUUUUUUAUUGUGCCUCAUUUCUCUUUCUGCUGGGAUUGCAUGCAAAAACUCAUUUAAUUUCCUUUUCUAUCAGGGCUUGCAUUUGACAAAUCCGGAAGCCGUCUAGGACGAAGUGGGGGGUGGGUUAACACUUUUCAACUUUCUGGUUUAUUUUAAUUCCUUUUUAAUGGCAUUGUUAAUAAUCAUAUUAAUUAUAGUCAGUGUGGUUCUAUUUGCAAUAUUGGUUUUUAUGAUUCUUUUCGUCCCUAAAUAUGUGAUUAUUAGAUUCAAUAUGACUGCUUGCACAUGACCCUGAGGUGUUUACCACAGAGGUUAUUUACAAACUUAUAUAUUUCUGUUUGUACUUUCAUUUACUUAUGAUUUUAAUUAUAUUGUCCUCAUAUUGCUUAUGUUUCCCCCCUUAUGUCAAUUCAUGAUGAUAUCUGGAAGUUACUAUGAUUUGUUCCUGAAGAACUACCAAGAGCUCACAAAGAAGAAGAGAUGGAAGCAACCCCUCCUCGUUGCACUGUCUUAUUCAAUCCAAAUUAUUGAGGAAGGAGCAAUACCAGUUACUCCCUUCGACAUUCCUGUAGAUGC